AUUGAACGCUGGCGGCAGGCCUAACACAUGCAAGUCGAGCGGAUGAAGGGAGCUUGCUCCUGGAUUCAGCGGCGGACGGGUGAGUAAUGCCUAGGAAUCUGCCUGGUAGUGGGGGAUAACGUCCGGAAACGGGCGCUAAUACCGCAUACGUCCUGCGGGAGAAAGUGGGGGAUCUUCGGACCUCACGCUAUCAGAUGAGCCUAGGUCGGAUUAGCUAGUUGGUGGGGUAAAGGCCUACCAAGGCGACGAUCCGUAACUGGUCUGAGAGGAUGAUCAGUCACACUGGAACUGAGACACGGUCCAGACUCCUAAGGGAGGCAGCAGUGGGGAAUAUUGGACAAUGGGCGAAAGCCUGAUCCAGCCAUGCCGCGUGUGUGAAGAAGGUCUUCGGAUUGUAAAGCACUUUAAGUUGGGAGGAAGGGCAGUAAGUUAAUACCUUGCUGUUUUGACGUUACCAACAGAAUAAGCACCGGCUAACUUCGUG
rnacentral:rRNA from 1 species